rnacentral:rRNA from 1 species
GACGAAGGGGGCUAGCGUUGUUCGGAAUUACUGGGCGUAAAGGGCGCGUAGGUGGCUUUGUAAGUCAGGAGUGAAAUCCCUGGGCUCAACCCAGGAAUUGCUUUUGAGACUACAUGGCUUGAGUACAGGAGAGGUGAGUGGAAUUCCCAGUGUAGAGGUAAAAUUCGUAGAUAUUGGGAGGAACACCAGUGGCGAAGGCGGCUCACUGGCCUGUAACUGACACUGAGGCGCGAAAGCGUGGGGAGCAAACAGG